rnacentral:rRNA from 1 species
GUUUAGACCAGUUUGACACCAGUUUGAUGAAUAAGUUCUUUAUAAUCACAAUGAUUCAUUAAUAAAGUCAAAAAAAUUUAAAACCAGUUUAGACCAGUUUGUAACCAGUUUGAUACCAGUUUGAUACCGGUUUGAUACCGGUUUGACACCAGUUUGAUACCAGUUUGACACCAGUUUGAUCAAUAAGUUCUUUAUAAUCACAAUGAUUUAUUAAUAACAAAAAUUGCAAUCAAAGUUUGAGUUUGUCACUUUACACACUGAAGUACGAGUUCGAUUUAAGGACUCCCAAUUAUCCUAACUGUAGAAUGAUAACAGUCCUUUUGUUGUUCACGUCUGAACCUUUGUUCCCUUUUAUCUUGGGCUUUCAAUUCGCACGAGUCCGACCUCAUCACUCUCCUACCCAGUGGCAGGCCCUUCAAUCUACUAAACCUUACUACUCCCCAUUAAUCUCCAAUUUUAUAAAGUCUUUAAACUUUUAUUUUUUAAGUUUUUUUAGUAUUUUAAAGGAAAUCAUGGCGAACCACAAUGGUUGGUCCUGAUUUCCACCUGGAGGUCCGUCGCCGGUGCACCUCCCGGAAAUCAGGGCCAAGGUCUUGGCCCUGAUUUCCGGGAAUACUUGGCCCUGAUUUCCGGGAAAUAGAUGAUCACUUGUUCACCUACUAAUCUGACAACUAGUUGUUAAUUAAAGGAAUUGUGGUAGACACUUAUAGAAGACUUACAUUAAACAUCGUAAUGAGAUUUACGAACAGGUACAGUUAAUAUUAUAAGAAAAUUUAAAGAGCCGCCUUUUCAAAUCGUUCACGUCGGACACUUGAUGGUACUAUCAUAUAUACAAGAACGUUUAACCGACAGUACUGGGCCUCUAAGUGUAGACAUACCAGGAAACGUGUAGUUACGAACCUUUAACUCUCCAGUUGAAUAUUCUGUACAUCUAAUAAUGAAGUCAAAAGAGACCAUAGUAGAGACGCAAGGUCAUUGUCUAGUCAUUCAAUACAAUAAGACAGAGUGUUUAAUAUAUCAGGUUCCGAAGUACAAUGCUCACGUAGAAAAAGAGAAACGAUUGGGAAAAACCAAUUCCAAAAAAAAAGAACCUUGACGCGUUCGCAGAAAGGAAACUGUUCGAACUCUGAGAAGUAAAAAAACCCAGGUUUGAUACCUCUGUCGGUAACGAUUGCACAAAUGUUUCGUCAACGAAUUAAAGUUAUGAUACCAGAGAGUUGAAAGUACUCGUUAACGAACUUAAUUAUAAUACUUAGGAUUUCUUUUAGAACUACGUCUACCAUUUUGUAAGACCAGUUCCACUUCGACGUAGCCUCUGACAGCUUAAAACGAAUGCCAUAUACCUACGCCUUUGGUCUUUGAACAAACACUAUUGAAUCGAAAUAUAGACUGGUUCACAGUCCACAAGGGAUCUCGAGACCUUCUAAAACUGAACCGUGAUGUACUUAGUGGUUCGUUACCCAGUCGUAGAUAACUUCGGUACUCCUCGUUUUAGUAACUGUAGUAACUUCGAAACCUGUUAUAGAACGUUUAACACGGUAAUUUCGACUACGGCUUUCCUUCCUACGAGCCUCUACGGUCCCUGGUUUUUUCUCCUUUUUGUUAUAUACUUUGAACACUCUUUGACUCGACACUUCCUCGACACCAGAACCCAACAGCGACCAAGGACAGAGAGUAAACGACCAAUGAGUAUAGCUAUCACAAGAAUACAUUGGAGGGCACCCUUUAGAAGUAACCUCAACAAUAGAAUUAGGGUAGUAUGAAUAUACCCUAGAAACAUCAAACAUCUAUUGCCACGUACUAGGCUAGUCAUGGGAGCCAUCCCAACGAUUACACCGACCUUCAGAGUCUAGCCCCUAGUGUGUUCCCAAAAUGGAUCCAAUCCUCAUUAUGGGAUACAGGACGAACAAUGAUAAUAAAUACCACCCACAUGGAACACACUCCCUAACGUUACUUCUAAUACCAUACGAUAGCACUCAAUAAAGAUUCGCU